UUAUAAAAUUAAAGUUUAGGUUGAUUAUUUUCAUUAAAAGGGAAAUAGGUAAAAUGCCUAUGCGGUCCCGCCGCCGUGAAGAGAAGUAAAUUUUUUUUAUACCACUGGGUAACUGGGAAGGUAAAAAUUUAUGAUGAUACUAAGCCGGAAGACCUGCCUAUACUUAAACACAAUA
rnacentral:ncRNA from 1 species